AUUGAACGCUGGCGGCAGGCCUAACACAUGCAAGUCGAACGAGUGGCGGACGGGUGAGUAAUGUCUGGGAAACUGCCUGAUGGAUGGGGAUAACUACUGGAAACGGUAGCUAAUACCGCAUACCAUCGGAUGUGCCCAGAUGGGCUUAGCUAGUAGGUGGGGUAAAGGCUCACCUAGGCGACGAUCCCUAGCUGGUCUGAUAGGAUGACCAGCAAAACUGGAACUGAGACACGGUCCAGACGCCUACGGUAGGAAGCAGGGGUGAAGAUUGCACAAUGGGCGAAAGCCGGAGGCAGCAAUGCCGCGUGUAUGAAGAAGGCCUUCGGGUUGUAAAGUACUGUCAGCGGGGAGGCGUUACCCGCAGAAGAAGCACCGGCUAACUCCGUGCCAGCAGCCGCGGUAAUUC
rnacentral:rRNA from 1 species